GUCUCUUUCUUGACUUAACAAAAGUUUAAUUAUUCCCGAGCCACCCAGUCAACACCUCUUAUCAUAUCCUACUCAUUUCCUAAAAAAUGAGUUUUUUGACUUCUACUUGAAACUUCUUACUAUAUGACUUACUUCUUGACACACUGGCACUUGAAUCAAGGCUCCACCACUCCGUCAACUUGCCAAUUUACCAUAACUCGUUCUAAACAUCCCUUAGUGUUCCUCUCAUACCAUUCCUUUUGUCUUU
rnacentral:misc_RNA from 1 species